GCCCGCGGGUCCCCGAGCCCCGGGGCACCUGCCCCUCCCAGCCCGGCCCGCUGGAAGGCCGCGGUGGGCGCCAGGACAGGACCGGCCCUGGGGAGACCCGGCCCACGACCCGUGGGCACCGAAGGUGCCAUUUGCCAUCCGAAAAGAGGAUGCCGUCCGAGUUUUGAUCAAUGGCAUUUCCAUGCUCCCGGCAGACCACCCACCUGACCAUCUGUCCUUGUUCCUCUUGAAGCCAGGUUGAAGCUGCCCAGCACCCAGAAACUUUCUGAAUAGCUUGUGCUGUCCUAUCUUGUUUGUAACUCCAAUGCUUUGAACAAAAUUAGAGAUGACUCCUGCACAUACCAGGGAAUUUCUGUGUUUAACUGUUUAUACAACCAUUCCGCAAAGAGCAGAUACCAACUCAGUGCUAGACAUCAUCCUAGACUCGACAUGGGGCGCACGACCAAAAGAGAAAGAGGACACUUGCUGACGUCAAGCCUAUAAAGGAAACAGACAAACAUA